GAAUUACUGGGCGUAAAGCGCGCGUAGGCGGUUAUGUAAGUUAAUUGUGAAAGCCCAAAGCUCAACUUUGGAACUGCAAUUAAAACUAUUUAGCUAGAGUUUGAUAGAGGAAAGCGGAAUACAUAGUGUAGAGGUGAAAUUCGUAGAUAUUAUGUAGAACACCAAUUGCGAAGGCAGCUUUCUGGAUCAUUACUGACGCUGAGGAACGAAAGCAUGGGUAGCGAAGAGGAUUAGAUACCCUCGUAGUCCAUGCCGUAAACGAUGUGUGUUAGACGUUGGAAAUUUAUUUUCAGUGUCGCAGCGAAAGCGAUAAACACACCGCCUGGGGAGUACGACCGCAAGGUUAAAACUCAAAUGAAUUGACGGGGACCCGCACAAGUAGUGGAGCAUGUGGUUUAAUUCGAAGAUACGCGCAGAACCUUACCAACACUUGACAUGUUCGUCGCGACUUUAAGAGAUUAAAGUUUUCGGUUCGGCCGGACGAAACACAGGUGCUGCAUGGCUGUCGUCAGCUCGUGUCGUGAGAUGUUGGGUUAAGUCCCGCAACGAGCGCAACCCUCACUUUUAGUUGCCAUCAUUAAGUUGGGCACUCUGAAAGAACUGCCAGUGAUAAGCUGGAGGAAGGUGGGGAUGACGUCAAGUCCUCAUGGCCCUUACGUGUUGGGCUACACACGUGCUACAAUGGUAUCUACAACAGGAAGCGAAACAGCGAUGUUGAGCAAAUCCUUAAAAGAUACCUCAGUUCGGAUUGCACUCUGCAACUCGAGUGCAUGAAGCUGGAAUUACUAGUAAUCGUGGAUCAGCGUGCCACGGUGAAUGCGUUCCCGGGUCUUGUACACACCGCCCGUCACACCAUGGGAGUUGGUUCUACCUUAAGGCAAGGUUUAAUACCCUUGACCACGGUAUAGUCAGCGACUGGGGUGAAGUCGUAACAAGGUAACCGUA
rnacentral:rRNA from 1 species